GAUGAACGCUGGCGGCGUGCCUAAUACAUGCAAGUCGAGCGAACAGAUGAGGAGCUUGCUCCUCUGACGUUAGCGGCGGACGGGUGAGUAACACGUGGAUAACCUACCUAUAAGACUGGGAUAACUUCGGGAAACCGGAGCUAAUACCGGAUAAUAUAUUGAACCGCAUGGUUCAAUAGUGAAAGACGGUUUUGCUGUCACUUAUAGAUGGAUCCGCGCCGCAUUAGCUAGUUGGUAAGGUAACGGCUUACCAAGGCAACGAUGCGUAGCCGACCUGAGAGGGUGAUCGGCCACACUAGAACUGAGACACGGUCCAGACUCCUACGGGAGGCAGCAGUAGGGAAUCUUCCGCAAUGGGCGAAAGCCUGACGGAGCAACGCUGCGUGAGUGAUGAAGGUCCUCGGAUCGUAAAACUCUGUUAUUAGGGAAGAACAAAUGUGUAAGUAACUAUGCACGUCUUGACGGUACCUAAUCAGAAAGCCACGGCUAACUACGUG
rnacentral:rRNA from 1 species